UACGUAGGGGGCAAGCGUUGUCCGGAAUCAUUGGGCGUAAAGAGCGUGUAGGCGGCCUGAUAAGUCGGCUGUGAAAGUCAAGGGCUCAACCCUUGAAUGCCGGCCGAUACUGUCAGGCUAGAGUCCGGAAGAGGCGAGUGGAAUUCCUGGUGUAGCGGUGAAAUGCGCAGAUAUCAGGAGGAACACCUAUGGCGAAGGCAGCUCGCUGGGACGGUACUGACGCUGAGACGCGAAAGCGUGGGGAGCGAACAGG
rnacentral:rRNA from 1 species